CUUCGGUGAUAUAAUUUUAUUGACCGUAAUCCGUGGACUUCGAAAUUAAAUGAAGUUUUACCGUGUACAUCUUGAUAAAUUAAAGCUAGUAAUUAACAAAAAGUCGAUAAGAUGGUCCGCAAUUGUUCUAAAGACUUUUAGGGAAAGACCAUGACGAGCCUUAAGAUAAUGUAUAAUGAUAGUAUCCUCAAAAAUAGAAUUCUAUGUCUAUCACCUUCAAUUUAUUAACUUUUGAUAUAUACUUUUAAAGACAGCAAAAGAUAAAGGCUCCUGAAAAAAUUUUUGUACACAUUCCAAUUUACCAUCUUAAUUGCUAAUUU